rnacentral:rRNA from 1 species
AACGUAGGAGACAAACGUUAUCCGGAGUUACUGGGCGUAAAGGGCGUGUAGGUGGUUUCGUAAGUCUGGCGUGAAAUUUCUCGGCUUAACCGAGGCAGGUCGUCGGAUACUGCGGAACUUGAGGACGGUAGAGGCGUGUGGAAUUCCGGGUGUAGUGGUGAAAUGCGUAGAGAUGUGGAGGAACACCCGUGGCGAAGGCGGCCCUCUGGCUCGACCCUGACGCUGAGGCGCGAAAGCGUGGGGAGCGAACGGG